UCCUCGAUGGCUCAGUUGGCAGAGCGGAGGACUGUAGAUGUUUCAACGGUGAUCCUUAGGUCGCUGGUUCAAAUCCGGCUCGAGGGA
rnacentral:tRNA from 1 species